UAGGUGGUUGGAACCUUCAUCCCCAUUCCACACUCACCUCAGGGAGAGAAGAAUGGCUAGAGAUUGAUUGAACCACCAAUGGCCAAUGGUGUAAUUGAUCAUGCCUACUUAAUGAAGCCUCCAUAUAAACCCCAAAGGAUGAGCUUUAAGAGUUUCCAGGUUGGUGAAAACAUGGAGGUCAUGAAAGGAUGGUGCACCUGAGAAAGCAUGAAAGUUCUCUUCAAGAUACCUAUGCAUCUCUCCUGGCUGGCUGUUCCUCAGUUGUACCCUUUUAUAGUAAACUGGUAAUCUAGUGAAUAAAUUGUUUUCCAGACCUCUGGGAGCCAUACUUGCAAAUUAUUGUGCCUGGGGAGGGGUUUAUGAGAACCUCCAAUUUAUAGGGGCCCCAGUCAAUCAGAAGCACAGGUGACAACUUAGACUUGUGACUGACAUUGGAAAUAGAAGCCAGUCUUCUAAGACUGAGUUCUUAACCUGCCUGUGGGGUCUGUGCUAACUCUGGUUAGUUUUAGAAUUUAAUUAAACCAUAGGACACCCAGUUGGUGUUUGCCAGAGGAUUAAGUUGAAUUUUUUAGAAAAAGCUCACACAUUUGGUAUCAGAAGUGAAGUAGUGAGAGUAAUAGUUGAUCAGAGAAGAAAUAAGAAAUUUUCCUUUCAGAUACCAAAGCAAACAAGAAGGCCAGGAUAAUGUGCUGAAAUGCUGAUUUGUAUUCUGUUUUCCAUGUAUUUUUUCCUUUCCUUUUUCACAUUAAUUUGUUUACCUUUGCCUCAGGCUGGUCUGUGUAGUGAGGCCUGAAGCAGAAAUUAUCUGGGAAAACCAAAACAAAAUAAGCAAAGUAUAUCAAACAAAUGAAAAUGUAUCUUGUUAGUUUGUUAAGAACAUGCUUGAUUGAGAAAAUUAUGUUCAAGGACCCCAUAGAAGAAGGGAAGACAGGCAAGUGCUUAUGAAGGGUGCAUUGGGAAGUGAAAUAAAUAAAGAGGUAGUGGGAACUGUGUCAUGAUAUAUGUAGCUACUAAAAUUAAUGGAAGUGGAAAAUUAGGAAUCCGCAUUAACAUGAGCCAGAGGGGUAAAGUUAAAGCGAGAAGCCCAUGCAUUAAGAAUGUAAUUUAUGAACAAAGAAAAAGUAUUGGCAUGCACAUAAUUUGACACACAAUUGAAAUUUUAAAACCCAAACCAAACGAACCUCACUUCUUUUAAGCCAAAAGCAUACCAUAAAUUAUUAUAAAUUGUAAAUUUACUUAAGCAAAUUCAAUGCCUUUUUUUUUUGAGACGGAGUCUCACUCUGUCACCCAGGCUGGAGUGCACUGGCGUGAUCUCGGCUCACGGCAACCCCUAUCUCCUGCGUUCAAGCGAUUCUCCUGCCUCAGCCCCCUGAGUAGCUCCUCAGUACAGGCGGGUGCCUCCAUGCCCGGCUAAUUUGUUGUAUUUUUAGUAGAGACAGGGUUUUGCCAUGUUGGCAAGGCUGGUCUUAAACUCCUGACCUUAGGUGAUCCACCCACCUCGGCCUCCCAAAGUGCUGGAAUUACAGGCGUGAGCCACUGCACCUGGCCUCAAUGUCGUCGUCUUCUCCUUUUCCUUCUCCUUCUUCUUCAUUUUUUCUUUUUUUUUUUCUUUUUUCUAGAUACAGAGUCUCGCUCGAUCACCCAGGCUGGAGUGGAGUGGCGCCAUCUUGGCUCACUGCAAGCUCCGCCUCCCGCGUUCUCGCCAUUUUCCUGCCUCAGUCUCCGGAGUAGCUGGGACUACAGGCGCCCGCCACCACGCCUGGCUAAUUUUUUUGUUUUUUUAGUAGAAACGGGGUUUCACCGUGUUAGCCAGAAUGGUCUCGAUCUCCUGACCUCGUGAUCCACCUCAGCUUCCCAAAGUGCUGGGAUUACAGGCAUGAGCCACCGAAACCGGAUGAUGCCUCCUUCUUAAUUUCCAGUCUUGUUGGCUAAUAUCAGAUUUGCUGUCUGGAGAGAUAUAUGAAAUUUAAAGAUGGCAAUCCAUUCCCUUCCCAUCAUGCUUCUUUUUCUACAGACCCGGAGUUUCUGUCCAUGUCCAAUGCAUUCAAGAUUCUUCUGCAAAUCUGAACAGUCUGUGACCUUAUAGAGAACAAUAGGUGAGUUCAAAAGGACACAAGAACAGAAGAUCUGAAGGCAAUGAGAGAUAAGAAAGCCUGAAGUACAUGGAGGAAAGAAGAAAUCCAUUUGAAUGGAAGAAGCAUUCCAAGUGACAGAAUGUAUCAGAACAUUUAAAGACGAAAGAAGGACAUCAUUUUGAAUCAUGAGGCCUACUGGAAAAAUAAACAACAAAAAACAAGCAAGCAAAAUACAGUGGAGAGAGCUGAUAGAGCAGUAGAAAGUCUCCUGGAAUAUCCCCACAGGCUGCUGGUGUCUGGUAGGGAGGAGAGAGUGAGGGAGCCACUUUGGACAUCCGAAUCACUUUUAGCAUACUUUACUUUUCCUAGGUGCAAAAGCAGAGAGGCAAGGAGACUAUCAGUCUUACAAUGUUGAUGGUUAAUAGGAGCCUGGUGAUGGUAGUCUGACCAGGGGAGAGAAUUAGAGUGGUGUCCCCAUCACCCACUUGUUUGUUGGCACCUUGUAGUCCUACACUUGUGAACUUCUAGUUCCUAUGGCUGAAGGAAAAACUGAUCUAACAAAGAGGAGUAAUGCUUUAAGUCUUAUCAGAAAUAUAAGCCCUAGCGUGAAGGAGUGUUUCUAGUGCCUUCUUGAAAAAAAGUUUUUUUUUUUUUUUGAGACAGAGUCUCUCUCUGUCACCCAGGCUGGAGUACAGUGGCGCUAUCUCAGCUAACUGCACCCUCCACCUCCCCAGUUCAAGCGACUCUCUUGCCUCAGCCUCCUAAGUAGCUGGGACUACAGGCACCCGCCACCACGCCUGGCGAAUUUUUGUAUUUUUAGUAGAGACAGGGUUUCACCAUAUUGGCCAGGCUGGUCUCUAACUCCUGACCUUGUGAUCUGCCCACUUUGGCCUCCCAAAGUGCUGGAAUUACCGAUGUGAGCCACUGCGCCUGACCAAAAAAAAAAAAAAAAAAAAAAAAAUGCUUUUAAUAGACUGAGGAUGGAGAAAAUAAGAGCAAAGUACAAUAAUGAGUGUCUGGAGAGGUUGGAGUAGGAGACCAGGCAGAGUAGCUUGGGAAAAAGGCAGGGAAAGGUGCAAAUUGGAUGCCAAGAUAAGCUUGGCUUAUUUCUAAUUUUGCCUAAAGUGACAUAAUAUAACUAUGUCCCCAAGCACAUGUAACAUCUGAUCACAUUGAGAUGAGAAAUUGCCUGAGAAAUACAGAUGGAAUUUAUGCAGUAAGCAAAGUUGGAAAAGCAUUUAUAUCAUUCUACAGUUGCUUAGUCUCUCUAGCCUAGGAAACCAUGGGAUACUUAAUUCAGCCAUCUCUAUCUAGGCCCUGUUAUUAAUUGUGUAUUGCAUGGUGUGCUUGCAGGAUCACAACUGCAUCACAAAAAUAAUCUGACCCUGGCUGUGAGAUUUGGAGAUGACAACACAAUUGUAAAUUUAUAAAAUUUACUGCACCUACUCAGGGGGACAUAAGGCAACUGUGUUAAUUCAUUUCCCAUUCCAGAGGAAAGGAAGGACUAUGAAAAAUAUCAUCCAAAUCAAUAGAACACAGUGAUUAGGCUAUCUAUUGUUUCAAUAGUUUCAUCAAUUGCUGACUGAAUCUUCUAGUCUGCAGUUUAAAAUCUAGUUAGUACUUUGUCCAAUAUGCUAUAAUACAUACUAGCAGUCUGUAGAGGGUCUCUAUAAUGAAUUACUGCUACAUUCACUGUCCCACCAAUUUUCUAAUAAUUCUGUCAAAUCACCUUCUGGAUUCCAAUUUUCUAUUUUUUUUCAAUGAGUUACAUGACUAUAAUCCAACAUUUUUGUAAUUUCAACAAAAAACAUUUGAACAUGCAGUAAAUCACUGGAGGUUACCAGGGAAGAAAGGACCUGCAGCCUUGAACAAAGACGGAUUUAGAAAUAUGUUCAGCAAUACCAGUGAAUAGUACAGGAGAAUCUAGGAUAAAGGAAACAGACUGGAAAAUAAACCAUCCUAGAAAGAAAAGUUCAGAGAAUGAGAACCCCUGGACUGUCUCAAAAAAAAGAAAAAAGAAAAAAACAGAAACGCGACAUGCUCUAAAAAGGAAUAUUUAACCUGGAUUAAUUCAUAAAAUAAUAGGAGAAAAUUUUUGCAGCCAGAAUACUAUGAAUUUGAGUUGGUUGAAGAACAACCUCAUCUUUUAAAGCAGAGAAGUUUUCUCAGAUAUGUUUUCCAGAAUGCCAAAUCGUAAGUAAAUUGAUGAGAAAACUGUGGCUCAAAAGUUAUGUUACUUGUUAGACAUCACCAGACAUUUAAGUGAUGAAAUUGUACAACAUGUGGUCUUUUUCUUCUGAGCCCCAAAAUGUAAAGAACUUUCCGGAAGAAGAAGAAAUGGGGCAGAAGAAGAAGUCAGAGAGAUUUGAGCACCAGAAGGACUUGACAUGCUAUUGCUGGUUUGAAGAUGAAGAGGGCAAUAUAACAGCAAUGCAGCUCUGGCAUUAAGUGCUGAGAGAGGCUCCCUGCUGACAGACAGCAAGGAAAUAAAGACCACAGUCCCACUGCCACAAGAAACUGAUUUCUGCAAACAACAUGGAACAGCUUAGAUGAAAUUUCUCCCCAGAUAAUAACCCAGGUGAGCCAAUACAUUAAUUUUGGCCAUGUAAAACCUACAGAAGAGGAACCAGUGAAAUUUACUCUGAUUUCUGUCCUACAGAACUUAAUGUGAAUGGCUUUAAGCCACUACAUUUAUAGUAUUUUGUUACAGCAGUGACAGAAAACUAGUGUAACAUAUAAACACAAAGAAGGGAAAUAAUGAUAUCUGUAUAAAUAAUUAAAAUAUAAAAAUUGACCAAGAUGGCCAACUAGACACAGCCAGGAAGAGCAUCUACCACUGUGAGAAAAUACCUUCAAUAAACCAGCACACUCUGUGCAGAUCUUUGGAGGGAAGGCAUUGAGAGCAGACAGAGGGAGGAUGCAGACCCUAGGCUGAAGGGGGAGAAAAGCUGGGAACCCUGCAUAGGGUUGCCAAGCACCAGGACUCAUUCCCGGCCCCCAGUGGCUCCUAGGGAAGGGUUGAGUUAAAUAGUCAAGGAAUGGCCCACUGUUACCACAGAGCUCCAGAAUUCUAGCUGCAAGAGACCCCUCAAUCCUCAUGGACAUUUGAGCUGGCAGGGAAAGAUGCUUAGAGAGGUGGCAGAGACAGAACUCAGGCUGUGUGAAUUUGGACAGAGCAGAGCUUUCUUGCCUGUGAGAUUGUGCCAGUCUGUUCUGAGUGACCCCAGUCUGUAUGCCUCUCCCUAGUUCCUAGCUGGGUGUGCUCACUUGCAGCUCAGCCUCAGAUGCCCAGUUAGGGUGCUUUCCAGCUGCUACUACCAUAGCUCAUUCACUGACUGAUCCCCAACUAACUGCUGGAAAGGUUCAUGCCCCCCUAGCAUGAACUUGACCCAAGACAUAGUCAUCAGAUUCUCCAAGGUCAACACAAAAGAAAAACUAUUAAAGGAUGCUAGAGAGAAGGGGCAGGUUAUCUACAAACCUUAUUAGGCUAACAGAAGACCUUUUAGCAUAAACCCUGCAAGUCAGAAGAGAUUGAGGAUCUACAUUCAGCAUUCUUAAAGAAAAUAAAUUCCAACUAUGAAUUUCAUUUCCAGCUAAGCUAAGCUUCAGAAGCAAAAUAUAAAUAAAAUUCUUUUCAGUGCAGGAAAUGCUAGGGGAAUUUGUUACCAAUAGACCUACCUUACAAAAGGUGAUUCAGGAAGUGCUAAACAUGGAAAUGAAAGGCCAUUAUCGGCCAUCACAAAAACACACUUAAGUACACAGACCAUUGACACUACAAAGCAACUACACAAUCAGGUCUACAUAAUAAUCAGCUAACAACACAAUGACAGGAUCAAAUUUUCACAUAUCAAUAUUAACCUUGAAAAUAAAGGUGCUAACUGCCCCUAAUUAAAAGACACAAGGUAGCAAGCUGGAUAAAGAAGCAAAUCCAACUGUGUGCUGUCUUCAAGAGACCUAUUUCACAUGCAAUGAUGUCUACAGGCUCAAAGUAAAGGGAUGGAGAAAAAUCUACCAAACACACAGAAAACAAAAACAAACAAAAAAAGAAGGGAAUGCCAUUGUUAUUAAAGACAAAACAGACUUUAAACCAACAAUGAUCCAAAAAUACAAAAAAGAACAUUAUAUAAUGAUAAAGGUUAAAUUCAACAAGAAGACUUAACUAUCCUAAAUAUAUUUGCAGUCAACAUUGAAGCACCAAGAUUCAUUAAAAGCAUUUUAGAGACUUAAGAAGAAGCUUAGCUAAUUACACAAUAAUAGUUGGACACUUCAACACCCCACUGACAGUAUUAGACAAAUCAAAAAGGAAGAAUAAUAACAAAGACAUUCAGGAUGUAAAGUUAACAGUUGACCAAAUGGACCUAACAGACAGCUACAGCUAUAGAACCUAACAGACAGCUACAAGAAAGAUAAAAUAUACAUUCUUCUGACCUGCAGAUGGCAAAUAUUAUAAAUCAAACACAUACUCAGACAUAAAGCAAUUGUUAACAAAAUUAAAAAAAAAAAACAAAUCAUACCAAAUACAUGCUUGGACCACAGUGCAGUAAAAAUAAAAAUCUGUACUAGAAGAUCUCUCAAAAACAUAAAAUUACAUGGAAAGUAAGCAACCUGUUUCUGCAUUACUUUUGAGUAAACAAUAAAAUUAAGGCUGAAAUCAAAACAUUAUUUGAAACUAAUAAGAAGAAAGAUAGAACCUACCAGAAUCUCUCGUACACAACUAAAGUGGUGCUAAAAGUGAAGUUUUUUGGUGCUAAUUGCCUGUAUCAAAAAGUUAGAAAGCUCUCAACAACCUAGCACCAUACCUAGAGGAGCCAGAAAACCAAGAGCAAAUCAGUCCUACAGCUGGCAGAAGAAAAGAAAUAACCAAAAUCAGAGCUGAACUGAACAAAAUUCAGAUACAAAAAAUCAUACAAAAGAUCAACAAAAUCAAAAGUUAGUUUUUUAAGAUCGACAGACCACUAGCUAGAUUAAUUAAAAAAAAAGAGAGAGAAGAUCCAAAUGAAUACAAUCAGAAGUGACGAACGAGACAUGAUCACUACCCCCACAGAAAUACAAAAAUCCCUUAGACACUAUUACAAAUAUUCCCAUGCACACAAACAAUAAUCCUAAAAGAAAUGGACAAACCCCUAGAAACAUACAACCUCCCAAGUUUGACCCGGAAAACAAUUGAAAUCCUAAAAAGACAAAUAAUGAGUUCCCAAAUUGCAUCAGCAAUUAAAAAAAAAAAAAAACUUACCAACAAGAAAACACUAGACCAGAUAGAUUCAUAGCAGGUUCAAGUUCUACCAGAUAUGUAGAGGAGAGAUGAGACCAAUCCUAUUGAAAAUAUUACAAAAAAUUGAGGAGGAGGGAUUCUUCCUCAUUUUAUGAGGCCAGCAUCAUCGUAAUACCAAAACCUGGCAGAGACACAACUAAAAAAGAAAAUUUCAAGCAAAUAUUCCUGAUGCAUGCAAACGUUGUCAACAAAAUACUAGCAAAUUGAAUCCAGUUCCACACCAAAAAGCUAAUCCACCAUGAUCAAAUAGGCUUUACUCCUGGGAUGGAAGCAUCCUUUGUGUUCAACAUAUGCAAAUUAAUAAACGUGAUUCAUUACAUAAAUAAAACUAAAAGCAAAAACCACAUGAUAUCUCAAUAGAAGCAGAAAAGGCUUUGAUAAAAGUCCAUACCCCUUCUUGUUAAAAAAAAAAAAAGCCCUCAACAAACUAGGCAUUGAAGGAAUAUACCUCAAAAUAAUAGGAGCCAUCUAUAACAAAUUCAUAGCAAACAUCAUAUGGAACAGGCAAAAGCUGGCAGCAUUCCCCUUGAGAAACAGAACAACACAAGGUAGCCCACUUUCCCCACUCCUAUUUAACACAGUAUUGGAAAUCCCAACCAGAGAAAUCAGACAAGAUAAAAGAAAUAAAAGGCAUCCAAAUAGGAAGAGAGGAAGUCAAACUCUCUCUCUUUCAAGAUGAUAUGAUUUCAUACCUAGAAAACCCCAUACUCUCGGCCCAAAGCCUCAUAGAUAUGAUAAAUAACUGCAGUGAAGUUUCAAGGUACAAAAUCAGUUUUCAAAAAUCAGUAGCAUUUCUACACACCAAUAACAUCCAAGCUGAGAGCCAUAUCAAGAAUGCAAUCCCAUUCAUAAGAGCCACAAAAAUAACAAAAUAACUAGAAAUACAGCUAACCAGAGAGGUAAAAAAUCUCUACAAGAAUAAUUACAAAACAGUGCUGAAAGCAGGCAGAGACAACACCAUCAAAUAGAAAACAUUCCAUGCUCGUGGAUGAGAAUAAUCAAUAUUGUUAAAAUGGCAAUAAUCCCCAAAGAGAUCCUAUCAAACUACCAAAUACAUUUUUCACAAAACUAGAAAAAAACUAUCUUAAAAUUCAUUUGAAACCAAAAAAGCCCAAAUAGCCAAAGAAUUCCUAAGUAAAAAGAACAAAGCUGGAGGCAUCACAGUACCCAAAUUCAAACUACACAAGGCUACCGUAACAAAGACAGCAUGGUACUGGUGCAAAACAGACACACAGACCAAUGUAACAGGUUAGAGAGCCCAGAAAAAAAGCUGCCCACCUACAUCCAUCUGAUCUUCAAUGGCGAGUGAGCAUUACUGCCUGAGCUCCACCUCAUGUAAGAUCAGUGGCAGCAUUAGAUUCUCAUUGGAGCUCGGACCCUAUUGUGAACUGUACAUGCAUGGUAUCUAAAUUGUGUGCUCCUUAUGAGACUCUAAUUCCUAAUGAUCUGAGGUGGAACAGUUUUAUCCUGAAACCAACCCUACCCCCUAUAAACCAUGGAAAAAUUGUCUUCCAUGAAAGCAGCCCCUGGUGCCAAAUAAGUUGAGGACCACCAACCUACAGAAUGAGAGAAUAUAUUUGCAAACUAUGCAUCAGACAAAGUUCUAAUAUUCAGAAUUUAUAAGGAAUUUAAACAACAUAGCAAGCAAAAACCAAAAAAUCCCAUUUAAAAAAUGGGCGAAGACAUGAAGUGUUACUUCAAAGGAAGACAUGCAUGUGGCCAACAAUCAUAUGAAAAAAUGCUCAACAUCAUUCAUCAUUAAAGGAAUGCAAAUAAAAACCACACCACACCAGUCAGAAUGGCUAUUACUAAAAAUAAAAAUAACAGAAGGUGGCAAGGUUGCAGAAAAAAGGGGACAUGUCUAUGCUGCUAGUCGAAAUGUAAAUUAGUUCAGCCCCUGUGGAAAGCAUUGUGGCAGUUUCUCAAAGAACUUAAAGCAGAACUACCAUCCAACUAAGCAAUCCUAUUAUUGGGUAUAUACCUCCCAAGACAUAAAUUAUUUUACCAUUAAUUUGCUUAGGAUAAUGGCCUCCUAAGACACAUGCAUGUGUAUGUUCAUCAUAGCACUACUCACAAUAGCAAAGACAUAGAAUCAACUUAGACGCCCAUCAAUUGUGAAGUGGAUUAAAAAAAUGUGGUACAUAUACACCAUGGAAUACUAACCAACAAUAAAAAAGAACAAAAUCAUCUCCUUUGCAGCAUCAUGGAUGGAACUGGAGGCCAUUAACCUAAGCAAAUUAAUGCAAGAACCAAAAACCAAAUACUGCAUGUUCUUACUUAUAAGUGGGAGCUAAACACUGAGUACACAUGGACAUGAGGAAGGGAACAAUAGACAUCAGGGCCUACUUGAAGGUGGAGGAUGGUAGGAGGGUAAGGAUCUAAAAACUACAAAUUGAGUACUAUACUCAUUACCUAGGUGACAAAAAAAAUCUGUAUACAAAACCCCCGUGACAUGAAAUUUACCAUGUAGCAAACCUGCACAUGUACCCCCGAACCUAAAAGUUGGGGAAAAAAAUAGAAAAAUUUGAAAAUCGUGAUAAUGAUGGGUAAAUCAGGAACAAUCCUCCUUAAAAACACUCAUGAGAGAGAAACAUUUAUGGUAAAACUGAUUAAGAAAACAAGAAACCUAAAUUAUUUUAGAGGGAUAACAAUGGGAAAGAGUUUCCAUACUGGAUAUCUAAAUUUUUUCAAUAUUAUUUAUUUAAAGUAGGAUGAUUUUGGUGUAAGAACAGAAGAGAGACUGUAAAUAAGUCCACACAUAUCAAGUAUCUUGAUUUAUGACAAAAAACAAAAUCUCUGCAAAUCAACAAGGAAAGAAUGUUCUUUACAAAAGAAUGGUGUGUGGUGCUCAGUCAAUUAAAUAUCCAUUAAAAAAUCCUGUGUCCAUUACCUCAAAUCAUACCUAAAAAUUAAUUUGAGAUGAAUUUUGAACUAAAUGUAAAGGUAAAACGAUUAGGAGCUAGAAGAAAGCCUAGUGCAACAAAACACACUCAUGACCUUGAGAUAGCAACAUUUAAAACAAAAAACAAACAACAGCAACAAAAAAACACGGGUAGUAUCAACCAUAAAGGGAAAACAGGCUGGGCGCGGUGGCUCACACCUGUGAUCCCAGCACUUUGGGAGGCCGAGGCGGGCGGAUCACGAGGUCAGGAGAUCAAGACCAUCCUGGCUAACGUGGUGAAACCCCGUCCCUACUAAAAAUACAAAAAUUAACUGGGCGUGGUGGUGGGUGCCUGUAGUCCCAGCUACUCGGGAGUCUGACGCAGGAGAAUGGCGUGAACCCAGGAGGCAGAGCUUGCAGUGAGCCCAGAUUGCGCCACUGCACUCCAGCCUGGGUGACAGAGUGAGACUCUGUCUCCAAAAAAAAAAAAGGAAAAGAAAAAAAGGAAAACAAAAAUUAAUUUCUGCUUAUCAAAUGAUAAUAAUAAGAAAGUGAGAAGGAAAGUCACCGACUUGCAGUAAAUGCACUUGAAUAAAAUAUAUUUAUAAAAUUAUCCAAUAUGCAAGUGAAAAUAUGUGCAACCUCAUUAGGCCUCAGGAAAUGCAAAGUAAAACCAGAAGGGGAUCGUCAUAUCAGAACAACUAUAAUUAAAAGACUAGUAAUUUCCAGUGUAUGCCAAGAAUGUAGACAUCUAGAAGUGUCAUAUUUCUGGAAGGAUUUUAAAUAGGUUCAGCCACUUAAAAAGUUAGCAGUAGCUAAAAAGUCAAACCUUCAUAUAACUUAUGAUCUUUAUAAUGCAUCAAUUAUGCUCUUGAGAUACUCAAGAUUAAUGAGUUAAUGUGUCCAUUAAAAGAUUCUACCAGCCUUAUUCAUAAUAAUUAAAAACUGAAAAUCAACCAAGUAUUCAUCAAAAUUAAUUAGAAGAAAUGAGAUACAAUAUUAUAUAACACUUACAAAGAAUUUUGUUUUUCUUGAGACAGAAUCUCGCUUUGUUGCUCAGAUUGGAGUGCAGUGGUGUGAUCUCAGCUCACUGCAACGUCUGCCUCUCAAGUUCAAACGAUUCUCCUGCCUCAGCCUCCUGAGUGGCUGGGAUUACAGGU
rnacentral:lncRNA from 1 species